CGUGGCUGUCUUGUCAUCUGGUCCGAACUUUAGUUUAGGCGUUUCUCUUUGUUACACUACGCGCUUGCUUUGUCUCAGGUCAAGUCGUCAUUGAAUUGAACCCAUAAAGUUACGCUUUGUACCUCGAUCUACUGAUAACUUAAUCUUCGCUACCAUGGAUCACAGGUGUCGCCCUCCUUUCUAUCCACCUUUCUAUCCACCCUCACGCCCUCCUUUCUAUCCACCCUCACGCCCUCCUUUCUAUUCACCCUCACGCCCUCCUUUCCAUCCACCCUCUCCUCGCCUUCCUUUCCAUCCACCCUGUCGCCCUUCUUUUUAUCCAUACUGUUGCCCUCAGUUUCAACCACCCUGUCGCCCUCCAUACCCCUCUCAUUCCGCACCUCCCUUCUUCCCAUGUUCCCAAUUCCCCUCCUGCGCUCAUUCUGGAUUAUCUCAUCAUUUCAACCCUCAUACGAGAUCAGUGUCCACCCAAACUCGACUGGAACGUCCCAAUACUGGCACUGAGAUUAGUACCCAAACUGGUACUGAGACUGGUUCCCAACUAACUAGCAGGGCUCUGAGUUGCAGCUCCAUCAUCGUGGUCAGCACAGAUUCAAUUAAUCAUGACAAAACAGUGUUCACUUUCGAACACCAAUACGUACUUCCCCGAAAGUCUGAACGGCAGCAGAAAAAGCUAACAUCUGAUAAUGACGAGAGGAAGACUUGAAGUAUUCCCUGGGAUUCCUCCAACUUUGAACUGUCUGCAUUAAAUCAGUACAGUACUCACGA